rnacentral:lncRNA from 1 species
GCUAUAAUCAGCAACGCAGAGCCCAGGCCUGCUACCAGUCCUGCAAGGAGAAAGCAAGUGGGCAACAAGUCCCAUGUCAUGGCCUCUACUUCUCCUGGAAGAGUUUCUUUAACAGCUGUGAAUUUCACUUGGUUAAUCCUUCUUGUCCUAUGAAAAGUGGAAGAUUGCUUCUCAUCCUCAAACUACCAGUAGGAGAAAUGAUCUGAGGCACUAUUGACUGAAUCAUCUUGUACUGGGUGUUGGAAUUAUGGUAAG